rnacentral:lncRNA from 1 species
AUUGACCAUUAAAAAAAGGAUUUGUUCAUUCAUUGAUUUUCGGCCAAAAAAACCAAGACAUUGAUUUAAUACUUAGAGUUUCCAAGAUGAUAGGGCUUGCAAAUUGUUAGCCAUGUUCUUGAUUUAUUUUCAGUUGUAUUUGUUAGAAAAUCGGAUAGGCAGUACGUGUAGAUUUCAAAACUUUGAAAAUAGGUAGCGAAAAAUAAAAUGGAUUAAACCCUUUAACCCCAUAUGCUAGAGAUCAAAUCUAAAUCUAUCCAAGCUCGGGAGAAAGCACAUACCAUGAAUAUGAAAUUUCGAAAAAUUUAUGAGAUCAGAUCUCAUUUUUUUGGCGUGGAUAGAUAUUCACCGCUUUUGAUGAUCUCGGAUUCGUAGAAGGUUGAGCCGCAUACGUGUCCGGACUCUACGGAUAUCCAUCGGGAUCUAUCUCAAACUUCUUUCUUCUCGUAGAAGAUUCUUUCUCUCAAGAAGAAUCUUGAUCUUGAAGACUUUGAUCAAUUGAUCAACUCUUUUGAUCUUAACUGUGAGAUCAACUUCUUGAUUUGCAGCCUUCUUCUUCUUCUUCUCAAUCUGCAAUUUCCAAGUCACCAACACUGCUUUUGGGCGUGUGGAAGAGAGGCACCCAACUUUUGGGUGUGGAAAGGAAGAGAGGGAGGUAGGAGGCAUGGAGAAGGGAG